rnacentral:rRNA from 1 species
CCCUUUCUCCUACAUUCGGCUCUCCUCCGCUCCUCCGGUGCCGCUUCCGGUCUUCCAGAUUGCAGCCAAUGGCGCCACCGGCGCGGCCGUCCAAUGCCACGCUUCUUGCGCGGCUCGGGGAGGGCACGGCCAGGUUCGAGCUCCUCGAGGACCCCGCGCCUGCUCCCGCGCCGCCGGUUUGGCCUCGCCUCCACUGCUUCGCCAGGAUUGGCUCCUCGCUGAGGGGCGGGUGGUCGGCGGCGUUGAACAAGGUGGAGCACUACGGGGUCCAGAGAGUCACCGGCGAUGGCCGCUGCAUGUUUCGAGCCUUGGCUAAGGGAAUGGCAAAGACUAGGGGAAUUCCAUUGACCCCAAGGGAGGAGGUACAAGAUGCAGACGACCUACGGCUGGCAGUGAAAGAGGUUAUAUGUGAUAACCAAACCGAGCGUCAAAAGUAUGAAGAGGCGAUUAUAGCUAUUACAGUGGAUGAAUCUUUGAAACGCUACUGCCAAAGGAUAAGGCGACCUGAUUUCUGGGGUGGAGAGUCAGAACUCUUGGUUUUGUCUAGACUGUGUCGGCAACCAAUCAUUAUUUACAUUCCGGAGCGUGAGUACCGCGGGCGGGGCAACGGGUUUAUCCCAAUUGCCGAGUACGGGUUGGAGUUUACCAAAGACUCUAAAGAGGGGAAGAAAAGGGUGCCGGUGAGACUGUUAUACAGUGGGAAGAACCAUUAUGAUUUGCUGAUAUAAAAUGGGCACAUGAGAUAUGCCCCGACCAAGCAUCAGAAUACCGGCAGCCACCGCCCAUCUGUGGCGCAUACACAAAUCCCCGUUUUCUUUCCAUGGUUACAUCCUUCGAUCCUGCUAAUUAAGCUCCUGUUUGUCAGUUAUGAUGCUAUAACCGCUGUUUCGUCGAUCACAGUGAUGGGCAUUUGGGGAAUUUAUGGAUUUGGGGCUAGAAGAAUUGGCACUAACCUGAUGACAGCGCCACACGAGCUAACUAUGCGCUCAGCUGCAUGGUGCAGAGGCCAGUGCUGUUUUGGCAGUGAUUUGGUUGGUUGGCGCGGUGCCGUGGAGUUGUUGAUUGCGUUUCCGGUUGGUGCCGGGCAGAAUAAUGGUGCGUUGGUCGCACUCGCACUCGCACUCGGUGGUUGACGACGGGACUUGCUUCAAACCCAAUCAUUAUGUGAGUACGUGAUGGUUAUUAGGUAUACUCGUAUAUGAUUUUGCAACGCACUGCUGACCGGAAUGAUGUCUUCCUUGGAUGAGCUGUACGGGCGUGUUUGGUAUCAGCUCAGCAUAUUAGGGGUACCGUCCGGUCCACUGGUCCAGUGAGC